GAGCAUCCAGUCCAUCGAAAGGGCAGGAAUCAGAUUGAUCGUCUCUUUGCAAGGCUAUAUUGUAACAGUGUCUGGUCAGGGCUUGAUCUCCCCGGACCUCUCCGGUCUCCUGAUCGGUGGGAAACUUCAACUUCAAAUGGUAGGUCGAUACGAUGGCUCGGAGAGCAUUGAGGCCAGGUCGGCCGAGGAUUGCGUUGUAGGCGGACGGCGCCUUCACCACCAAGAAAUUCACCAGAGCCCUGGAUUGCCUUGGAUAUUGACCUGCGGCCAUAGUCAAGGUUAUUAUCCCUUCCGUCGGAACGGCGUCGUCAGUAAACCCUACCAAGG
rnacentral:lncRNA from 1 species